GACGCCGCGUGCGGGAUGGAGGCCUUCGGGUUGUAAACCGCUUUUGUUCAAGGGCAAGGCACGGUCUUUGGCCGUGUUGAGUGGAUUGUUCGAAUAAGCACCGGCUAACUACGUGCCAGCAGCCGCGGUAAUACGUAGGGUGCAAGCGUUAUCCGGAUUUAUUGGGCGUAAAGGGCUCGUAGGCGGUUCGUCGCGUCCGGUGUGAAAGUCCAUCGCUUAACGGUGGAUCCGCGCCGGGUACGGGCGGGCUUGAGUGCGGUAGGGGAGACUGGAAUUCCCGGUGUAACGGUGGAAUGUGUAGAUAUCGGGAAGAACACCAAUGGCGAAGGCAGGUCUCUGGGCCGUUACUGACGCUGAGGAGCGAAAGCGUGGGGAGCGAACAGGAUUAGAUACCCUGGUAGUCCACGCCGUAAACGGUGGAUGCUGGAUGUGAGGCCCUUUUUCCGGGUCCUGUGUCGGAGCUAACGCGUUAAGCAUCCCGCCUGGGGAGUACGGCCGCAAGGCUAAAACUCAAAGAAAUUGACGGGGGCCCGCACAAGCGGCGGAGCAUGCGGAUUAAUUCGAUGCAACGCGAAGAACCUUACCUGGGCUUGACAUGUGCCGGACGCCCGCGGAGACGCGGGUUCCCUUCGGGGCCGGUUCACAGGUGGUGCAUGGUCGUCGUCAGCUCGUGUCGUGAGAUGUUGGGUUAAGUCCCGCAACGAGCGC
rnacentral:rRNA from 1 species